AGCGAACGCUGGCGGCAGGCCUAACACAUGCAAGUCGAACGGACCUUUCGGGGUUAGUGGCGGACGGGUGAGUAACACGUGGGAACGUGCCUUUAGGUUCGGAAUAGCUCCUGGAAACGGGUGGUAAUGCCGAAUGUGCCCUUAGGGGGAAAGAGUUAUCGCCUUUAGAGCGGCCCGCGUCUGAUUAGCUAGUUGGUGAGGUAAUGGCUCACCAAGGCUACGAUCAGUAGCUGGUCUGAGAGGAAGACCAGCCACAUUGGGACUGAGACACGGCCCAAACACCUACGGGAGGCAGCAGUGGGGAAUCUUGCGCAAUGGGCGAAAGCCUGACGCAGCCAUGCCGCGUGGAUGAUGAAGGUCUUAGGAUUGUAAAAUCCUUUCACCGGUGAAGAUAAUGACUGUAGCCGGAGAAGAAGCCCCGGCUAACUUCGUGCCAGCAGCCGCCGUAA
rnacentral:rRNA from 1 species